rnacentral:lncRNA from 1 species
AUUGACAGUUUUAUUACACAUUCUAUUGCUAAUGGACACACUAUGAUAUUGGUUCUAGAAGUUUUAUUUGGACGAAUAAAUGUUCUCUCGUACGUGCUGUAACUCCAAUUAAAGAUGCAAAAGGACCAACAAAUGAUGUUCAGCCAGCUAUACUGAAUAGUGAUUUUCUCUCUAAAGAAGCAGAAAACAUUACUCUUCCUUCAAGUCUAUUGGUAAGAUUUUCAAUUGCUAAGAUCUUGAAAAAUCGUGCAGCAUGCUGUUGAAACCGAUGGCAAUCUUGAGGUAAUGAUAUACAUUUCAUAUGAUUAUUUGUUUUUGACAAUGUAAUUGUUCAUAAAAGAAUUUUUCUUAAGAUCUUGUCCCAUUUAGCUGGAUUUGGCAUCUAAACACUGUUGCAUUUGAAAAGGAGCUGAAAUAGAAAUAUCAGAACGUGAAGUUCAAACUCAGAAUCGUUAUAUUAAUGAACGGGGUUGACUGCUGUGCUCUUAGGAGUGUGUCAUGUACAAUAAAACUAGUUAUGGUGGAAGGGAUGCUUUUAACAUUGUUGAUGCUAUUAGCCAGAAAGUUGGACUUACAUCAGACUUUUCAAAGUCAGACGAAAUGCAGAAAAGUUCUCUCUUUAUGUCUGCAAAAGUCAGCUCUGCCCCAUAAAUCAUCAAGAAGAUCUACUGCUACAAGCGUGGCUGAAAUUGAAGAUUUUCACAAUAUGAGACUACUGAUCAGAAGAAAGAGGUUCAUCCAAUUCUUGUAUCGAUUCUUGAUCCAUUGUUUGCUCUCCUUGUAAGGAAAAUAUUAGAGAACAAAUUGUAGAAAUAUAUAGUCACCUAAAGAGCUAGGUAGUGCCAGCAGAACUGGAACAGAGCGAUGGGGAAAAUGAUGAUGAUUGUAUCAAGCGGCUGAAGAGAUUUGCAGAGAAGUGCUUUGAGAUUCUGGUACUUUCCUAUGGAUAACUUGUGGGGAUUCUGAACAAAUUUUCCAGAGAAUGCAAGAGGGUCUAAAUAUUAUUAAAUUCAUCUUGGCUUCAAAGUUUGAAACCUUCAUCUGAAUGUUUUUAAUUGAUUUAUACAAUCAAUUUCAACUCAUUAAGGCAACUUUGCUGACAAAUUGCUGGAAGACAUUGCUGACGGACUUGGCGAAGAUUAUGAGGAAGAAAGAAAACUGAUCUUAUCUUUCUUUAUAGGUUCUGAGUUAUCUCGUUUACAGUGUUGCCAUUGUUUAGUUUGCUACUACACAUCUUGUAUGCAUAUUCAGUGAAUGCAUAUUUCCUUUACACAACCUGAAUAGUAAUACCUGUUGGGAAUUGAUUUAAACAUGCACAGCGGAAUUUAACAAACUUCAAUUCCCAUUCAGGAU